GGGGGAUAUUGCACAAUGGAGGAAACUCUGAUGCAGCGACGCCGCGUGAGCGAUGAAGUAUUUCGGUAUGUAAAGCUCUAUCAGCAGGGAAGAAAAUGACGGUACCUGACUAAGAAGCCCCGGCUAACUAC
rnacentral:rRNA from 1 species